rnacentral:rRNA from 1 species
UACGUAGGGUGCGAGCGUUAAUCGGAAUUACUGGGCGUAAAGCGUGCGCAGGCGGUUCGCUAAGACAGAUGUGAAAUCCCCGGGCUCAACCUGGGAACUGCGUUUGUGACUGCAAGACUCGAGUGCGGCAGAGGGGGGUGGAAUUCCACGUGUAGCAGUGAAAUGCGUAGAGAUGUGGAGGAACACCGAUGGCGAAGGCAGCCCCCUGGGUCGACACUGACGCUCAUGCACGAAAGCGUGGGGAGCAAACAGG